GAUGAACGCUGGCGGCGUGCCUGAUACAUGCAAGUCGAGCGAACAGACGAGGAGCUUGCUCCUCUGACGUUUGCGGCGGACGGGUGAGUAACACGUGGAUAACCUACCUAUAAGACUGGGAUAACUUCGGGAAACCGGAGCUAAUACCGGAUAAUAUAUUGAACCGCAUGGUUCAAUAGUGAAAGACGGUUUUGCUGUCACUUAUAGAUGGAUCCGCGCCGCAUUAGCUAGUUGGUAAGGUAACGGCUUACCAAGGCAACGAUGCGUAGCCGACCUGAGAGGGUGAUCGGCCACACUGGAACUGAGACACGGUCCAGACUCCUACGGGAGGCAGCAGUAGGGAAUCUUCCGCAAUGGGCGAAAGCCUGACGGAGCAACGCCGCGUGAGUGAUGAAGGUCUUCGGAUCGUAAAACUCUGUUAUUAGGGAAGAACAAAUGUGUAAGUAACUAUGCACGUCUUGACGGUACCUAAUCAGAAAGCCACGGCUAACUACGUG
rnacentral:rRNA from 1 species